CCCUUAGAUGUCCUGGGCCGCACGCGCGCUACACUGAUGCAUUCAACGAGUUUUACCUUGGCCGAGAGGCCUGGGCAAUCUUUUGAACCUGCAUCGUGAUAGGGAUAGAUUAUUGCAAUUAUUAAUCUUGAACGAGGAAUUCCUAGUAAACGCAGAUCAUCAAUCUGCAUUGAUUACGUCCCUGCCCUUUGUACACACCGCCCGUCGCACCUACCGAUUGAAUGGUCCGGUGAAGCCUCGGGAUUGUGGCGAGUUCCCUUUAUUGGGAGUUUGUCGCGAGAACUUGUCUAAACCUUAUCAUUUAGAGGAAGGUGAAGUCGUANCA
rnacentral:rRNA from 1 species